rnacentral:lncRNA from 1 species
UCACAUUUACCAUGAUGAUCAAAACUCAUAUUUGCUUACUUAUACCAAACACAUAUUAAACAUGAUAAAACCACACACACAUAUAUAUAUUUACAUCAUAAUAUGUUCACUUAAGCCAUAUCAAUGGCCAGUCACAACCAAUACACAUAUAUCUCAUCAUUUGGCCAAACUUAGCCUAUACAUGUCAUUAUACCCAAAAGAAAUUUUUUUAUUUAUACCGAAGUGAGCUGAAGGAUAGUGUGAUGUUGCUCUGACCAGCUUCCAACCUUUACAAGCUUCCGAGUACU